rnacentral:misc_RNA from 1 species
GUGAAUCAUCGAAUCUUUGAACGCAAAUUGCACUCUCUGGUAUUCGGGAAAGUAUGUCUGUUUGAGGGUAAGAUAAAUCAAAAUCGGUGCUGUUGCUGGUUUUCGUGGUGACGCGUUGGAAUUGAGUUGUAUUAUUUUUGGUUAAGUGUCUUAAAAUUUUGAAUAAUUCUCGAACGUAUUUAAAUUUUUUAUGUUUGCUUGAGAUAUGGAAUACUUUUUUUGGUUCGGUUAUUCAUGUGAUUC